AUAUUGUUAAUACCUGUGGUUUCCCACCCUUUUCAGCGGAUAAUGCUGGAAACCCUAACAAUAAUACGUUAUUGUAACAUAUUAUUGUUAGAUCGGAUUGCUUAAGCUCGAAGGGAAUGCACAUCUCGCGGGUGUGGUCCUUUCAAUAAGGGGUUUGCACCUGAUCGCUGGGGCUCCUGCUUGUCCGGCAUACCGACCCGGGAACCAAAAGAGUGGCUGCGUUAAGUCGUGCUCCUUUGUCUCCCAAGCAUCUGGGCAACAUGUAGGCGUUAUACCUCUUAAUCGAGGGCAGCGCUUAUCCAGGUGCGAGGGAACCAAGACGAAGAAACGGGUGCGAUGUAGCUCACUCUUUCCCGGUGCUCGACCAAUGCAUGAUUUGGGUGGGAGAAUUCCUCGAUGGAGACUUUUCGAUGCCCUCCACAAUCACGUUGGGCUUCAGUCCUAUCAACUGGAUUGCUGGGCAUUGACCUGCCACGGUACUAACGGGUGCAGAGGAUUAGGGUUUGAUCCUGGAGAGGUAGCCUGAGAAAUAGCUCCCACUUCCAUGGAAGGCAGCAGGCGCGCAACGUUCCCAAUGGUUUACGGACCGAGGACGUUAGGAACAUAGCAAUACUUUGCUAAUAGCAAAGCAAUUGAAAUGGGGGAGAUCCAAAUCAUCCACCGAGUAACAAUUAGAGGACAAGUCUGGUGCCAGCACCCGCGGUAAUUCCAGCUCUAAUGGCAUCUAAUUGUUUUGUUGCAAUUAAAACGCUCGUAGUUAGAAUUGACUCAGCAGCGGGGGCUUGAGUUGUUUGUUGUCUGCUUGCUGGAGUGCCGCUUUUUCCGCCUCUUUAGGCGGUUGAAGGCGUAGUCCCCUAGUUCUUUGCCUCCGGGCAUUUUAUUAGGGAUAAACUGUUGACUCCUCCUGCAGCUCACACAUUCGCUCUUGCUCUUGCUUGUUUGGUCAUUUUGGGGAUUCCACUUUAAAGGGGUCUGGGGAACUCCUGCCAGUGCCAAAGGGUGGCGCCUCUCCUUGUGCUCCGGCUCAUGGGCAGGCGCUUUCCAAGUAGCGCUGGCAGCUCCUUACUCUCGGUUUUCCCACUUUGACUUUGAGUAAAUUCAAUCGAUCAAAGCAGGUCUUUAACUGACCAUUGAAGACAGUAGCAAAGAAUCAAAUCUUUCUGCUCUCCUGGAACUGGUCUUCAGGCGCACAGAACGCGGCUGGUGGCAGGGCUUUAUGCGCUUGUUGUGGACGCUUGUAUGUGCGCUGUGACGGUAUGCCACACCAGGGGUUUGCUUAUGAUCGAUAGGGGUUGUCAGAGUCAGCCACAUGAUGGAGGUAGGGGUGAAAUCCGUUGAUCUUCAUCAGGUGAACUACUGCGAAAGCAGCUGACUUGUAUACCUUCUUUAAUCAAGAACGAAAGUCUGGGGAGCGAAUGUGAUCAGAUACCACAGUAGUCCAGACUGUAAACGAUGCUGACUCCGGGUGGACUCUUGUCCACAUGACCCAAACUGAACUUUGUGAGAAAUCAUAAGUUCAGCUUUGGGGGGAGUAUGGUCGCAAGACUGAAACUUAAAGGAAUUGACGGAAGAGACACACACGAGUGGAGCCUGCGGCUUAAUUUGACUCAACACGGGAAAACUUACUAGAGCAAGAUAGAGGUAUGAUCGACAGCCUUGCAGAGCUUUCGUGAUUCUCUUGGUGGUGGUGCAUGGCCGUUCUUAGUUCGUGGAGCGAUCUGUCUGGUUAAUUCCGCUAACGAGCGAGAACCGAACACCCCAAGUUGAGAGGGCGUUGAUUAACUAAGAGAGGUUCACCUGCGCAUGCAUUCUUAAGCCAGAACCAGAAUGGCGUUCGCUGUGAGAUGGCCAGCCUGCGCCUGCUCCAGGAAUCUGAGUAAAUGCAAGGGUGGCUACAGCCUCUUUUUUCAUUAACAAUGCUCUUCUCACUGAGAGUAUGGGGCCCCUUUAAGGGGCUGGUAAUGGGGUCAAUAACAGGUCAUUGAUGCCCUUAGAUGCUCUAGGCCGCACGCGCGCUACAAUGGGGGGGAUUAGCACGUUCUCGCUUUGAAAGCUUGCCGAGCAAUCAACAAAACCCCCCAUACCUGGGAUUGUAGGGUGUUUUUUACAAAAUCCCUUCAUGAACAAGGAAUUUCUAGUAGGCGCAAUUCACUACCUUGUGCUGAAUUCGUUACUGCUCUUUGUACACACCGCCCGUCGCUCCUACCGAUUGAAGUUGUGAUUGAGAAGUUUUAACGUGAGCCAGGGUCAACCCAACUGGGCUCUUGCAGCUUUGCUGCUCUAUCCCGGUGAUUCUGACCUCACUCUUGGACCUUCUAAAUCUCCGCUUUAGAGGAAGGAGAAGUCGUAACAAGGUAUCCCCG
rnacentral:rRNA from 1 species